UGCGAGUCAUUGUAGUAAUACAAGGCAGACGGCUCAGUAACGNGUAGUCAACNUACCCUAUGGACGGGGAUAACCUCGGGAAACUGAGAAUAAUACCCGAUAGAACAUUAUGCCUGGAAUGGUUUAUGUUUCAAAUAAUUUAUUGCCGUAGGAUGGGACUGCGGCCUAUCAGUUUGUUGGUGAGGUAAUGGCCCACCAAGACUAUUACAGGUACGGGCUCUGAGAGGAGUAGCCCGGAGAUGGGUACUGAGACACGGACCCAGGCCCUAUGGGGCGCAGCAGGCGAGAAAACUUUGCAAUGUGCGAAAGCACGACAAGGUUAAUCCGAGUGGUUUCUGCUAAAGGAACCUUUUGUCAGUCCUAGAAACACUGGUGAAUAAGGGGUGGGCAAGUUCUGGUGUCAGCCGCCGCGGUAAAACCAGCACCUCAAGUGGUCAGGAUGAUUAUUGGGCCUAAAGCAUCCGUAGCCUGCUUUGUAAGUUUUCGGUUAAAUCCAUACGCUCAACGUAUGGGCUGCCGGGAAUACUGCAAAGCUAGGGAGUGGGAGAGGUAGACGGUACUCGGUAGGAAGGGGUAAAAUCCUUUGAUCUAUUGAUGACCACCUGUGGCGAAGGCGGUCUACCAGAACACGUCCGACGGUGAGGGAUGAAAGCUGGGGGAGCAAACCGGAUUAGAUACCCGGGUAGUCCCAGCUGUAAACUAUGCAAACUCAGUGAUGCAUUGGCUUGAAGCCAAUGCAGUGCUGCAGGGAAGCCGUUAAGUUUGGCGCCUGGGAAGUACGUACGCAAGUAUGAAACUUAAAGGAAUUGGCGGG
rnacentral:rRNA from 1 species